AACAAAAAAAAAAUAAAAUCAUUUUAUCUCCUCGAUUUUUAUUUUUUAUUUUUGGCUGAAAACGUCCUGUAUCGCUAUUACCGGUACAGUCGCCUGGAGAUGAUCAGUUCUUUAGGCGUAGGGCGUAGGUUAGGUUGCCUACGAUCGGCUGUACGUGCUCACUGAUUCUCUAACCUAAAUCCUUCUCUCUCUCUCUCUCUCUCUCUCUCUCUGAAAUGAUCCGGCGCCAGCGAGAAAGGAGAAGAAGAAAUUACAGGUAGCAUGCUUCGACCAUGGAAUAUGGCAGUGACAAGGGUGUGAUGGCAACGGAAUUAACCUCAUCUUCCAUGGAAAACCGCACCCAACCGGUUCAAAAUUUGGAGUGUACAGAAUCUAUCCAAUCCAUGUCGAUAGAGGAAUCUGUAGGCCCUGUUUUGUGUGUGGAGCCUAUCACGUCUAUAUGCCAUUCUAAGGUUGGGGAACCUGAAUUGGAGUUCAUACCAACUGUACCUGAUGCUUGCAAACCAUAUAUUGGGAGGGAAUUCACAUCAGAGGAGGCUGCCACGGAGUUUUAUCAUGCAUACGCUAAGAUAAGUGGCUUUAACGUGCGUCUUAAUCAAAGAGAUGUGUCAAAGAAGUUGAAGAUGGUUGUAUUUCGAUCCUUUUGUUGUUCUAAAGAGGGGAAACGACAAGCAAAGUUUUUGGAGAAUACAAAUCGCAAGAGAGCUCCCAAACCGAUCACUAGAGUUGGUUGUCCUGCUGAACUUGCGGUUAAAAGGCAAGGUGAAAAUAGAUGGGUGGUAACGAAGUUUGUUGAAAAACAUUCUCAUGAAUUAAUGACCCCAAUUAAAUCUCAUAUUCUCCCGUCGCACAAGACUCCCCCGGAAGAAGAUGUUACAUUUUUCGAGGUUCUAAGAGAAGUAGCAGGGGAUCCAGCUAACACUUUGGAUUUCAUGAUGAAUAAAUCAGGUGGGCCUUCUAAUACAGGGUCCUUAGACAAAGAUGUAAAGAGGACACUUCAGACAAAACGGCUCGUGACAUAUGGGAAGGACAUUGCUUCUGUUUACAAAUACUUCAAGCAAGCUGCAAGUGAUGAUCCAUCUUUCUUCUAUGAAAUGCAAAUAGAUGACGAGGCUCAUGUGACGGCUUGUUUUUGGGUGGAUGGUGGUUCAAAAUUAGAUUAUCGUGCUUUUGGUGAUGUAAUUUGUUUUGACAACACCUACAAAACCGAUCUGUACGACGUGCCAUUCACUCCCUUUACGGGAGUGAGUAAUCACAAACAGACAAUUUUGUUUGGUGCCGGGCUCCUUUUCAACGAAACCAUAGAAGACUUUAAGUGGUUGUUUCGGACAUGGCUUAAGGCAAUGGGAGGAAAACAUCCAAAAACUAUAAUAACAGACCAAGAUUCAGCGAUUAGAACAGCAAUUGCUGAUGUAUUCCCACAUACACAGCAUCGAUUUUGCAUGUGGCAUGAAUUACAGAAAGUACGGACACAUUUGGGGUAUCUGUAUCACAAAGGUUCAAAAUUUAAAGGUGACUUCGACCGAUGCAUAUACCAAACUGAGACAGUUCAUGAGUUUGAAAGGUUAUGGGCUAGUAUGAUGAAAGAAUAUAAGCUCGAACAUGUCGAUUGGCUUCAUCAGGUAUAUGAUACUCGUCACAUGUGGGCCCCAGCUUAUGUGAGAAAUACCUUCCUCGCUGGAAUAUCAACUACCCAACGUAAUGAAAGUGUGAGAGCUAUGUUUGAUGGAUACUUGAACCCUUAUUUGGCACUCAUGGGUUUUGUAUUGGGUUAUCAGAAAGCAUUAGAAAAUCGAAGACAUGACGAAUUGGUUGCAAAUGAUAAAAAUUCAUAUGGCUCACCCUUACCGAGAACUCCCUUCGAUAUAGAGAAAGGGUUGAUACAGGUCUAUACAAAUGAAGUACUCAAAGAUGUCAUAGAAGAACUAUUUCAAAGCCCGUUGUAUAAUGCGAAUUUGGUUGAUAAAGAUCUAGUUAGCACAUAUGAAGUCACCCACAUGAGCAAAAAAGAAAAAGUGCACAUCGUGACAUACAAUGAAAACGAAAAUAAAAUAUCAUGCAGUUGUCUUCUCUUUGAAUUUCAAGGUAUUGUGUGCAGACACUCGUUUGCUGUCUUCAGAAUAUUGGGAAUAGAUAAGAUGCCAGAACACUACAUAUUGAAGAGGUGGACACGACACGCAAAGGCAGGGCUUGUCGUUGAUACUAAUAACUCCCAUUAUGAUCACAAUAGUGAAAUCUUUAAGUUCUCUCAUCAUAAUGAGAUUGGCCAUAAUUUGAAAAGGUUGUCACAUGAAGCUUUAAAGUCAAAACAGAAAUUUGCAUGUGCCAAUGAACGCAUCAGAAAGCUGGUGGAAGAACUCGAGAGAAUGGAUGAAGAAGACGCUAUAAGUGUGGGACAGAAUGAAAUUUCGAUAGAGCAAGUUGGUACAAGUGGCGAGCAUGGGCUUAUGUGUCUAGAAGUUGGUGUGGAUGGUGGAAGUGGCUUAGCAUUAUCUUCGACCGAUAUUGUGUUGUGGGAUCCAAAAGUCUUUAGAAACAAGGGCUGCAGUACGAGCAAAAGAUUCAAGUCCAACAACGAGCUUGCUUUCAAUGGUAGGGACAAGGGAAAAUGAAUGGAUGGGAGGGGUAUUGAUGCUCCAAAUUAGACUCAGAUACACACAUGGACUGAAGGAGCUCCAACGUGCAUAGGAUCAAGGGUUCAAGUAUCUGUAUACAAUUCCAAAUGUUCCAUUAGAGUGCCGGACAUGUAAUUUCGAAAUCUGUCAUCGGGCCCCCUCCUGCUUGUUGAUGGUAGACAUGGAAUUUUGGAUUCUCUUACCGGCUCAGCCCACUCUUGAUAUUGUUAUGAUGGUGGAAGUGGGAUUUUGAAUUCUGUUAUGGGGUUGCACUUGUAUGUAUCUUUGUAUUUAAUAUGAAGUGUUGACGGCAGAUGUGGGGCUUCGGAAUUUGGGACAGAUGUGAUUUGAAGCUCGUAUUUUCUACUUGAUUAUGUUCUGUUUAAGUUGUUUUACACUCAAUUAUGGCAUGCCUGUUGUAGCAUUUUAUUUUUGGGGUGGUUGUAUGAUAAUGUAAUUAAUGGUUGUUGCUACA